AUUUGAUGCCAUUCAGUUCUGCAUUUACGAACAACUUAGGAUAGGGUACAAGCUAGCGGCACAAAGAGAUCCAAAUGACCCUGAGAAUGCUAUAAUUGGUGCCUUUUCUGGUGCGGUUACUGGGGCUAUAACCACUCCUUUUGAUGUGAUCAAAACUCGAUUAAUGGUCCAGGGAUCAAAUAGCCAAUAUCAAGGUAUUCGUGAUUGUUGUAGGACUAUAAUGAAGGAAGAAGGAGCACGUGCCUUCUUAAAGGGCAUAGGGCCAAGGGUAUUAUGGAUAGGGUUAGGAGGCGCCAUAUUCUUUGGCGUUCUUGAAAAAACAAAGCAGAUGCUUGCUAAUAAGGGGCGUCCAGUGCCUGAGAAACCCGUCGAAUCGCGAUGAUGCAGGUCAUCAUUUUUAAGGCUUCACACAUUAUUAUUUCGUCUUUAAA
rnacentral:misc_RNA from 1 species